rnacentral:rRNA from 1 species
GUUCUUUUAUUAAAGAAGAAAAAAUGAUGGAAAAAUCAUUCUGACGGUAUUUAAUGAAUAAGCCCCGGCUAACCUAUGUGCCAGCAGCUGCGGUAAUACAUGGGGGGCAAGCAGUUAUCCGGAUUUAUUGGGCGUAAAGGGUGCGUAGGCGGUUAAAUAAGUCUAUGGUAUAAGUUCAACGCUUAACGUUGUGAUGCUAUAGAAACUGUUUGACUAGAGUUGGAUAGAGGCAAGUGGAAUUCCAUGUGUAGCGGUAAAAUGCGUAAAUAUAUGGAGGAACACCAGUAGCGAAGGCGGCUUGCUGGGUCUUAACUGACGCUGAUGCACGAAAGCGUGGGGAGCAAACAGGAUUAGAUACCCUGGUAGUCCACGCCGUAAACGAUGAGUACUAAGUGUUGGGUUAAACCAGUGCUGAAGUUAACACAUUAAGUACUCCGCCUGAGUAGUACGUACGCAAGUAUGAAACUUAAAGGAAUUGACGGGACUCCGCACAAGCGGUGGAUCAUGUUGUUUAAUUCGAAGAUACACGAAAAACCUUACCAGGUCUUGACAUACUCUGCAAAGCUAUAGAAAUAUAGUGGAGGUUAUCAGGGAUACAGGUGGUGCAUGGUUGUCGUCAGCUCGUGUCGUGAGAUGUUGGGUUAAGUCCCGCAACGAGCGCAACCCUUAUCACUAGUUACCAUCAUUUAGGUUGGGCACUUUAGUGAGACUGCCAAUGAUAAAUUGGAGGAAGGUGGGGAUUACGUCAAAUCAUCAUGCCCCU